rnacentral:rRNA from 1 species
UACGUAGGGUGCAAGCGUUAAUCGGAAUUACUGGGCGUAGAGCGUGCGCAGGCGGUUUGCUAAGACCGAUGUGAAAUCCCCGGGCUUAACCUGGGAACUGCAUUGGUGACUGGCAGGCUAGAGUAUGGCAGAGGGGGGUAGAAUUCCACGUGUAGCAGUGAAAUGCGUAGAGAUGUGGAGGAAUACCGAUGGCGAAGGCAGCCCCCUGGGCCAAUACGUGACGCUCAUGCACGAAAGCGUGGGGAGCAAACAGG